rnacentral:rRNA from 1 species
UACGGAGGGUGCAAGCGUUAAUCGGAAUUACUGGGCGUAAAGCGCACGCAGGCGGUUGGAUAGGUUAGAUGUGAAAGCCCCGGGCUCAACCUGGGAAUUGCAUUUAAAACUGUCCAGCUAGAGUCUUGUAGAGGGGGGUAGAAUUCCAGGUGUAGCAGUGAAAUGCGUAGAUAUUGGAAAGACCACCGACGGCGAAGGCACUUUACUGGGCCAUUACUGACACUAAGAGACGAAAGCUAGGGGAGCAAAUGGG